rnacentral:lncRNA from 1 species
GCGGCGCGGGGCGCGGAGCCGAGGGAAGCCGAGGGGGCGGAAGCGGUCGCGACUCUUAGCGCGUGUGCUCGGGCUCCUCACGUGGCGGCCGGGGCCGCCUGUUCCCUCCCGCCUUCCGAGAGCAGACGCGCCGUCGCCUUCCGUGCCGCGCGGCUUCCUCCAGACCUCAGCGCGGGUGAGCCCUAUUUCUAGAGACAGCUGCUGCUGACCCUGUAACCCAAAGGACAAAAUAGCUGGCUAAACUCAUUCUUGGUGCACACCAUGUCCUUGAAGAUUCAGACCAGCAAUGUAACCAACAAGAAUGACCCUAAGUCCAUCAACUCUCGGGUCUUCAUUGGAAACCUAAACACAGCUGUAGUGAAGAAGUCAGAUGUGGAGACCAUCUUUUCCAAAUAUGGCCGUGUGGCUGGCUGUUCUGUGCACAAAGGUUAUGCUUUUGUC